GAACACGUAUACAAGAAGGUUGACACUGCUCAGCCCUGCCAACAACCAAAAGAAGUAAUCCAGAUGCCCCUCGUUCAAGUUAUCGGGAAUCCAUCCAGGCUUCCCUCCGCGUGUCGUCAGAGAAGUCACGACAGUCAAAAUGAACGAACUCAGAUAAUUUCCAAGCGCUGUAGUCAGCAGGGAAAACGCACUGCACAGGCUCCUCAUCGCAUCGGGAGAUUGGUCAUAGAAAAACUCAAGCUGGCCGAUAAACGUGAACACCUCAGCCGCUCCGACCAAGAAGUACUGUGGUAUCUGCCAUAAAAUGGUCAUCGGGACAGCAACUUUGUCGUGGAUUAUACCAUCAGCUUCUGCGAUGUGUAGCCGCCUGAUUUCGACCAGCGCUGCUGCUGCCAUUGCUAGUAUCGAUAUGAAUAGCCCAAUUCCCAUUCUCUGAAGUUCGGAGAAGCCUCUUUCCUUGCCUGUGAUCCUCCUUACAAUCGGAACGAGAAUGCUGUCGUAGACGGGAACCCAUACGAUGACACUGAUGACGUCGAAGGUCGAGAGGGAUGCGGGUGGAAUGGUGAAGGAGCCUAUGGUUGUGUCGAGGACCAUCCCUUGUUCGACAAACAUGGUCGAUAUCUGAGCGUAUACGGCUGAGAAAACGAUGCCAGUAGCCCAUAUGGGGAACAUGCGUACCAAUAUCUUGAGCUCUUCCACCUGGGUGACCGUGCAGAGCUUCCAUGGAUUCGUGAAGCUCUCGGCCUUGACGUCAAGAUCUGAGACAGUCGCAGCCUUGUCGAGAAACUUGAGUUGAUCGCUAUGCUCCAACUUUCUACUCCCUUCAAUGGCCGACGUUUUGUCAGGAAGUUCGAAUAGGAGAGAACUGUCCUCGGGAACAUCUACAGUCCACUUGCGAACAGAGGCGACCACCACCUGGCACACCCUCGUAAUAGGGCUUCCUCCUGGUUUCUGAAACCGAUAAAGCACGGUGCCCGAGAAAAAACUUCCAAUAGCCAGACCCAUAAACAAAGUAGGAAUGCCAAACCCCAAGCCCCACCCAUAGUUGUCUUGGAUCCACACGAGCAAACUGCUCGAGAUGAGGGCACCAAUGUUGAUAGAGAAGUAAAACCAAUUAAAGAACGAUCCUUUCUUCACUCUCUCAACUGGAUCGGUGUCGUCAAACUGAUCAGCUCCGAAUGAUGAAACGCAGGGUUUGAUGCCCCCCGUUCCUAAUGCAAUCAGAUAAAGACCAAGAAAGAAUACACCGUACUGAGGAACGCUUGCUUCGGGACAAAAUUCUCCAACGCAUUCUGGAGGCUUUAAAGCAGAAACAGAUGCCGAGAGAGUCAAUGUACCCAUACCAAUAAAGUAAAUUGUCGAGAAAACAACGAUUGUCCAGUAUCGCCCCCAGAUGGCGUCGGCUAAAACAGCUCCAAUUAGAGGUGUAAUAUAGCAAGUUCCUUGCCAAGUUGUGACGUUUCUCGCUGCAGAGACAUUUCCUUCAUGGAGCUUUUUGGAGAGGUAUGUGACAAGGUUCGUUGAUAUUCCAUAGUAUGCCAACCGUUCGCAGCAUUCGGUCCCUAGAAUGAAUGGGCAUGCUCUCCAGCCACCGGUGUUCCGCUUCAAGAUAGGAUUACCAUGAAUAUCAACCGAUCCAUCACCUGUACAUGGUCCUAUGUGUCCAUUCUCAAGAAGUCGAUCCUCCAGCAUCAACCUUGCCUCCUCAUCCUCGCGAGAACCCAUUAAUCAAUCUCUCCCGAUCUUAGAUUCGGAUUGGGGUUUGAGGGAUUCUCUGCGAGGUAAGGGAGGGAUG
rnacentral:misc_RNA from 1 species